AGCACACAGGUCUGGGCAUGGAAAUGAGUCAAUAUAUCAAGGUACUCUUUGUUUCACUUUGUCUACUCUUCUCUCUCCAAGGGAAACGGGAAAAUCAAACAGGUCUGUGCAAGGAGGGCCAAGUCCUCUCCAGUGACUCCCUCCCCACUUCAGCCUCUUGCCUUCUGCUCUGGCACUGCUCCACACUGUCACUGUCCAGGGACAGCCUCCUCAGGAGAGGGGGACAGCUCAUAUGAAGAUGGGUGGCAGUGUGAACCCUCCAGGGCUGCACGGGAUGGCUGCAGCCACAUGAGGUUCCAGCAGCACCCCCUGUGCAAGGAAAGAGGAGAAAAGCCCUCCCUGUCUGCACCAGGUGGAUUUAACCUCCUGCACCGCUUCAGGAUCCGAUCCUGAUUCUUCAAGGCUAAAGCUGAGCUCCCUGGAAUGACUGGAGCUGAAACAUAAACCUAAGUACUUGGCUGAAUCAGUCCCUCUUGAAGUAUGAGGAGGAAGACAUUCAGGCUUUCUAAUCCAGCAGCACAGCAGGGAAACUGCUUGUCUCUGUGUGAUUGUGUAAUUGCUUUUCAAAGAGAGAAGUGAGUUUCUCUAUCCACAUUGCACUAACAAAUCUCAAAAGUCACUUUGGUCUUCCAGCCUAACUUUCAACAUUAUUUGUUAUGGAUAAAACAAAAGACACUUCUCUUUCCACAGCUGACAAGCUUUGCCUCAGGACAUGCAUUUAUUUUCCAUGCUGUUGAUCUCUUCCUCCCUGUAUCAGGCUAAUUCAUCAGAUUAAUAAAGGACGA